rnacentral:rRNA from 1 species
ACUCAAAUGAAUUGACGGGGGCCCGCACAAGCGGCGGAGCAUGUGGCUUAAUUCGACGCAACGCGAAGAACCUUACCUGGGUUUGACAUGCAGGGAAAUCCCAUAGAGAUAUGGGGUCCGCAAGGGUCCUGCACAGGUGGUGCAUGGCUGUCGUCAGCUCGUGUCGUGAGAUGUUGGGUUAAGUCCCGCAACGAGCGCAACCCUCGUCCUAUGUUGCCAGCGGAUAAUGCCGGGGACUCAUAGGAGACUGCCGGGGUCAACUCGGAGGAAGGUGGGGACGACGUCAAGUCAUCAUGCCCCUUAUGUCCAGGGCUGCACACAUGCUACAAUGGCCGGUACAAAGGGCAGCGAAACCGCAAGGUAGAGCGAAUCCCAAAAAGCCGGUCUCAGUUCGGAUUGGGGUCUGCAACUCGACCCCAUGAAGUCGGAGUCGCUAGUAAUCGCAGAUCAGCAACGCUGCGGUGAAUACGUUCCCGGGCCUUGCACACACCGCCCGU